rnacentral:lncRNA from 1 species
AUGAGGGCCAAGGAGAGGCAGCCAUGUGAGGUGCCCUUUGGAAAGAAUGGUGUUGAAGCGACCAGUAAUCCUGGGCUCAUUUCUCACAUGGGCAUUUAUUUCUUUACACUUCUCAAGCACAGUUAUGAUGGGACGUCCCCCAUAACCUGGCAAGGAAGAUGGUCGGCUCUUCUGAGGCACAAAGGCCUCGAGUCCUGGUGUUGGUAUGGCCUGGCCUCCACGGUGCACCCCUGCUGGUGGAUGGCUCAGGACGGGGCAGUUGCCUUGAGAGGCCCGCUGCAUGCUGCCACAACAGAUGUUCGAUUCUUACAAGCAACGGAGUCCCCAUGGAGUCGUGGAGUCAGUGUGGCCUGGCAUCCAUCGUGCACCUUGUGGUGGCAGGUGGCUCAGGGCGGGGCAGUUAUCAUGGGACAUCCGCCAUACGCUGGCAAGGAAGAUGGUCAGUUCUUCCGGUCCACAAAGGCCCCCAGAGUCCUGGAGGGCUGUGCCCUGGAGAGACCUGCCAUGUGCUGCCGCAACAGAUGGUUGAUUCUUCCAAGCAACAGAGUCCCCAUGGAGUCAUGGAGUCAGUGUGCCCUGGCAUCCAUGGUGCACCCCGUGCUAGCAGGUGGCUCAGGACCGGGCAGUUAUCAUGGGACAUCCCACAUAUCCUGGCAAGGAAUGUGGUCCAUUCUUCUGAGCCGCAAAGGCCCCCAGAGUCCUGGAGUCAUUAUGGCCUGGCAUCCAUGGUACACCCCUGCUGAUGGAUGGCUCAAGAUGUUGCCUUGA